UACGGAAGGCAGCAGUGGGGAAUAUUGCACAAUGGGCGCAAGCCUGAUGCAGCCAUGCCGCGUGUAUGAAGAAGGCCUUCGGGUUGUAAAGUACUUUCAGCGGGGAGGAAGGCGGUGAAGUUAAUAGCUUCACCGAUUGACGUUACCCGCAGAAGAAGCACCGGCUAACUCCGUGCCAGCAGCCGCGGUAAUACGGAGGGUGCAAGCGUUAAUCGGAAUUACUGGGCGUAAAGCGCACGCAGGCGGUCUGUCAAGUCGGAUGUGAAAUCCCCGGGCUUAACCUGGGAACUGCAUUCGAAACUGGCAGGCUAGAGUCUUGUAGAGGGGGUAGAAUUCCAGGUGUAGCGGUGAAAUGCGUAGAGAUCUGGAGGAAUACCGGUGGCGAAGGCGGCCCCUGGGACAAAGACUGACGCUCAGGUGCGAAAGCGUGGGGAGCAAACAGGAUUAGAUACC
rnacentral:rRNA from 1 species